rnacentral:rRNA from 1 species
UACGUAGGGUGCAAGCGUUAAUCGGAAUUACUGGGCGUAAAGCGUGCGCAGGCGGUUCUAUAAGUCAGAGGUGAAAUCCCCGGGCUCAACCUGGGAACUGCAUUUGUGACUGUAGAGCUGGAGUGCGGCAGAGGGGGAUGGAAUUCCGCGUGUAGCAGUGAAAUGCGUAGAUAUGCGGAGGAACACCGAUGGCGAAGGCAAUCCCCUGGGCCUGCACUGACGCUCAUGCACGAAAGCGUGGGGAGCAAACAGG